CAGCCGCCGCGGUAAUACGUAGGUGGCAAGCGUUGUCCGGAAUUAUUGGGCGUAAAGGGUUCGCAGGCGGUUUCUUAAGUCUGAUGUGAAAGCCCCCGGCUCAACCGGGGAGGGUCAUUGGAAACUGGGAAACUUGAGUGCAGAAGAGGAGAGUGGAAUUCCACGUGUAGCGGUGAAAUGCGUAGAGAUGUGGAGGAACACCAGUGGCGAAGGCGACUCUCUGGUCUGUAACUGACGCUGAGGAGCGAAAGCGUGGGGAGCGAACAGGAUUAGAUACCCGCGUAGUUCCUGUCUCUUAUAC
rnacentral:rRNA from 1 species